rnacentral:rRNA from 1 species
UACGUAGGGACCAAGCGUUGUUCGGAUUUACUGGGCGUAAAGGGCGCGUAGGCGGCCACCGCAAGUCGACUGUGAAAUCUCCGGGCUUAACUCGGAACGGUCAGAUGAUACUGCUUUGCUAGAGUGCGGAAGGGGCAAUCGGAAUUCUUGGUGUAGCGGUGAAAUGCGUAGAUAUCAAGAGGAACACCUGAGGUGAAGACGGGUUGCUGGGCCGACACUGACGCUGAUGCGCGAAAGCCAGGGGAGCAAACGGG